rnacentral:rRNA from 1 species
GAUGAACGCUGGCGGCGUGCUUAACACAUGCAAGUCGAACGGUGAACACGGAGCUUGCUCUGUGGGAUCAGUGGCGAACGGGUGAGUAACACGUGAGCAACCUGCCCCUGACUCUGGGAUAAGCGCUGGAAACGGCGUCUAAUACUGGAUAUGUGACGUGAUCGCAUGGUCUGCGUCUGGAAAGAAUUUCGGUUGGGGAUGGGCUCGCGGCCUAUCAGCUUGUUGGUGAGGUAAUGGCUCACCAAGGCGUCGACGGGUAGCCGGCCUGAGAGGGUGACCGGCCACACUGGGACUGAGACACGGCCCAGACUCCUACGGGAGGCAGCAGUGGGGAAUAUUGCACAAUGGGCGCAAGCCUGAUGCAGCAACGCCGCGUGAGGGAUGACGGCCUUCGGGUUGUAAACCUCUUUUAGCAGGGAAGAAGCGAAAGUGACGGUACCUGCAGGAAAAGCGCCGGCUAACUACGUG